CCAAGAAGCAAUGUAAAGUUUGAAACGAGCCGAGCGCGGUGGCUCACGCCUGUAAUCCCAGCACUUUGGGAGGCCGAGGCUGGCGAAUCAUUUGAGACACAGGGUCUCACUGUGUUGGCCAGGCUGGAGUGCGGCAGUCUGGAACUCCUGGGCCCAAGUGAUCCUCCAAUCAGCCUCACAAAGCACUGGAAUUACAGGUAGCUCAGAGAGCUGCGCUGGAGGAGAAAAGCCAGUCCUGGCAGGAGCUCUGGUACCUGGGAAGCUGGAUGGAGAGCCUGGGCCAGAAUCCCGGACCCCUCACCUCUGCGGCCUAGCUUUGUGACCUUGGCAAAUCCAUUCUAUGCACCUCCAUUUCCUGUACAGUGGGGAUCCUUAUUUCUCUGGCACAGAUUGGUAUUUGUUCUGUAAAGCCCAGUACCACUUUAUUUUAUUUUAGUUAUUGAUUUUUUUGAGACAGGGCCUCACUCUGUUGCCAAGGCUGGAAUGCAGUGGCGAGAUCAUAGCUCACUGCAGCCUCAAACUCCUGGGCUCAGGCCAUCCUCCUGCCUCGGCCUCCUGAGUAGCUGGGACGACAGGCGUGCACCACUGCGCCUAGCUCCAGUACCAUGUUUAAACGGUGCUCAGAAAACGUGCUAAACUUGGUGGAUGGGAAUUGAAAAGAGAUUUAAUGUUUUAAAAAUCAAAGUCACUCAGCUGCAGUGCCACAUGGGAAGGAGGCCUGGAUGUGAAUGUUCCUGGGAGCUGAGAGCUCCUGUGACUGUCGCCAGUUUCCUGUGGUCUCCCACAGACUCAGGACAUCUCCCUCUGCUCCAGGACACCUCAGGACCACCAGAGGGCACUCAUCGCACCUUCACCCCUGGAAGGGAGCUGGUCCUGGGGCCAAAACCCACUGUGCCUGGGAAGCCCUUCCUGGCUUCUGCUCUCCUCAAUGUAUGACAGCCCUGAUUUACCCCCAGGGACUGUUGCCACUCGGGGUUGUAGAGUAAUAUGUAACCAGACUGGAGAACCACAGCAAUGCUCUCUCCUCUGCCCAUCACCUCCCCUUGGCCCCUCCCUCUUCAUCAGCCCCAUUUUGGAGAAGGGAGAAAGAAGGGAGAGGCAGCAGUCUCCUCCCAGGUGGGGCCGGACUCCAGGGAAGGAGAAUUUUCAGAAGUUGCUGGAGUUGCCGAAUCUGUCAGGGCCCAGGGUUCACAGAGCAGUGAUGGAGGAGAAAGGAGAGGAAGCAGAUCUAAGCACACAUGGGCAUCAAACCAGAGGAACAAAGUCACAUGCAGAGGGCUGCACAUAGACACAGGGAAACACACACACGGAGAUGCACAGAAACACGCAGACCCCAUGCAGGGACCUGCUUUCCCGCCACAGAGGAAAGCAAUCUGAUCAAACAGACCCACUGUGCACCCAGCCCUCCAUGCUUGGGGACAACACACCUACAAAAAUAUAAGAAAAAAAAGGAAA
rnacentral:lncRNA from 1 species